rnacentral:rRNA from 1 species
UGCAGUCGACGAUGAAGCCCAGCUUGCUGGGUGGAUUAGUGGCGAACGGGUGAGUAACACGUGAGUAACCUGCCCUUGACUCUGGGAUAAGCGCUGGAAACGGCGUCUAAUACCGGAUAUGACAACCGACGGCAUCGUCUGGUUGUGGAAAGAAUUUUGGUCAAGGAUGGACUCGCGGCYCUAUCAGCUUGUUGGUGAGGUAAUGGCUCACCAAGGYGACGACGGGUAGCCGGCCUGAGAGGGUGACCGGCCMCACUGGGACUGAGACRCKGMCCAKACUCCUACSGGAGGCAGCASUGGGGAAUAUUGCMCAAUGGGCGAAAGCCUGAUGCWSCARCGCCSCGUGAGGGACKACGGCCUUCSGGUUGURAACCUCUUUUAKCAGGGAAGAAGCGAAAGUGACGGUACCUGCAKAAAAAGCACCGGCUAACUACGUGCCAGCAGCCGCGGUAAUAC